AGCCAUCUGAAAGCUUGGUCUCCUUAUUGCCUUUGGUCAGGACGCUGACUACGCCGUGUUGUAUGAAGUACAUCUUUUUGCCGAUCGUACCCUCCCUGAUGAUGUAAUCCCCUGGCUGGAACACCUCGAACCUUAGCUUGUGUGCUUGUCUCAAGAUACGACAUCAGAGGACGUGAACUGUCAGAGGAACGUCAGCAAACACACGCUCUCGAAGGCGUCUUGGACAGGACGCCUCUCACCUCUCGCAGCGGCUCGUUCAGCUCCCCUAGGAUGCUCUCCUCGUCGAACAUCUUCCCCUGGUAGCGGUGCUCGUAGUAGUCAUGGAUCCUCUGUCGCAUGUCCGCCGGCAGCUUGUGGAAGGACAUGUACUGCUCCACCUGUUUGUACUGCGGGGACACGGAGACGCACAACGACUGGGUUAUCCGAGGGUCAAAGUGCACGGCGCCGCAGCCACAGGGAACAGCUGGCACUGGAAAUGAAGACGGAUUCAUAGUCCUGCAGGUCGCGCCCAACAACAGAACACUUCUCCAGGCUUUGACUGUGCCUCUCACCAUCUCUUCGGUUUUGUGCCAUCAAUACACGGGAACAAUUCACAGUUGGCUCAUUUCUGCUGCAUGAAAACAGAUCUAAAGUGAAUGGCAUACAGUAUGUUACCUGUCUGAAUAUGUGGGUUAAUAUUAAGUUAGGUUUUUUUUGCAUGCAACGGAACACUUCACCCUCCAGCCUUAUGUGCCUACGCUGUUUGUUACAUUUAAUGUGUCAGAUGUAUUUUCGAUUCUGCAGCAUUGGAAGCUAAGAUGCACAUCAAAGCACAAUGAGAGCACCCUCGGAAUAAUAACAGGUGGAAUCCUCAAUGACAGAAAGAAAAAAAUUAAUCAUUCAUGUGACAAUGCUGGAGGUGCUCUUUGAUCACCGCUUCUACACUGCCAACAGUCUUGGCUGACCUCAGAUGUCCACCUCUUUGUUGUCUGACUCCACUACACUAGUCACCACUAAUCUUGGAGGAAAUCAUCAAAAGGCCAAUCCUGUGGAAAUAUAGCACAGUAAAUAAAGACAGCUGUCAGAAUGUUCUCCGUGAGAGAGCAAAAGCUGUCAAGCUUCCUGAAGAUCAUGAGAUGCAAGUGGAGUAGGAAAGAAUAGCGUACGCGGAUUAGAAUACAACACCAUGGAACAUGAAGGCGGACUAAAUCAUAACCGCCUCAAAAGGAGGUUCUGAGGGUAAAACUCUUUAACCCUCGCAACGCCACAGCCCCGUCCUCUACCAGGUUCACGACUGCAGUCGUAUCUGUGCCAUCACGCCUCCUUAUCGCAGAGUGUAAAAAACAAUUGGGGGCCACUUUAUGCAUGCUGAUGUUAGCGUACACCUCCCUUGACAGUAAACGGCCGUCUACUGACUGUUACGUGCACAAGGGACGCUCAGUAUUUUGCGUGCGUUACAACACGUAUGCGUCUACUGACUGUAUUAAGGUACUUGUGAGAUCAGUUCUGCUCUGAGGGGUGUCAAUGACACAGUAAACAAAGCUGUGCAAAGUGACCUGGAAAAUUCAAUCUACUUGCACAAACAGGAAUAAGAUGUGAAAGCAGGCUUUUACAUAUGCAGCAUUGUGUCAUGGGGCAGAGGUUUCCAGCUUUAUCCCCCAAAUCCCAUUGACAUAGAAUUGAGCCUUUACUGAUGUAAUGAUAAAACAGACAUUUCUGCCCCUGUCCUCUAGGUGACAGCUCUACUUAGCAAUUACAGAUGCGUCCAGCUGCAAUCCCAUUUGCUGCUGAGUACUGCGGUAAAGAUGGCUCCUCUGAGCGCGAUGACAGGUGUAACCCACAUUCUGUAUCUUGACUAAUGCCUUUAUGUCUCCAGCAUUAGACGUGCCUCAGCAUGGAGGUCUGCGUCAAAGCCGUGGAUUAUCGUCUGCAGAAUCCCUCCCUCUUAUUGUUUCUCACAUUCAUAAAAACACACUGUCAACGUGUAGCGGGCGCCUUUGUCUUCAGCUCUGUUGAAUGUCAGCAUGAAAAGCAAUUCGAAAAAUGAGCCGACGCACAAUAAUGCCCCAUUGCUUUUAUGUUGUGAUGAGUACAACUGUGGAGCGCACAAUGGCUCAGCGUCUCCCUCAAAGACAUUUUCUAUUUACUAAUCACUGCAGGUCUCAGAGGAGGAGCUGACAGGGAUGUAAAGACACAGACCGCGGGGGGAUGAUGCUGUGAUGUGCUGAUAACGCUCUCUGUGACAGGAAAUUAUCUUAUUGCAACACAGCCGCCAUCACGCUGCCGCCACACAGAUCCGUGCUCUGCUGCUCAGCUCGCAUAAAUCAGCGUGAGCAUCGGGGAGGUCACCGUUGCACUGUGAACCCCCCCACUGCUACCCUGCCCGGCUCAAAAGCAUUAAGACUUGUUGUGUCUUUGUGUGUGUAGGGUAGUAGCCUGAUCUACUGUAGCACAUACUGGCCUGUUCAGAGUGAACCUGAUGGCUCAUGGGUUUGUCUCCACACUGUAAGUACCUUACUGUAAUGCACAGUCCUCCGCAGCAGAGUUUAGUUGUGUGUGGGUGAGACCAUGAGACUUCUACCUUAGCAGUCCAACAGCAGCAGCACAUCCCGCCUUCCGAGCUACACAGCACAGCAUAUUCACGCCAUUUCAUUCCACAAAUCCUUUCCCACUCUUCUCAGUUAAGAUCUUUUGCCACAUGAGCAUUCCUUAGUCUCUUUCCCUUUCACUCCUUUCUGUUUAGUCCAUCUCUAUUAUCAUACUUUUUUUCCCCAACUCACUGCUUUCUCAUGCAGUUCCCCAAGCAGGGGGAAUCUUUUACCAAAUAAAACAUGAAUAAUUCAUUUCCAAAAGGAAAUGUCAGCCACUUAAUUAUACUUUCUAAAUGUUAAUUUUCUUCUCCUUAACCCUUGUGUUACAUGCAAGUCAUGGGUCAUAUGCGUAAUAAAUUCUUAAAUAUUUAAAUCUACAAAUACAAGCAAGGACAAUAGAAACCAUAGCAAAUUAUAUAUUAUUGACUUUGUUUGUGACACUCGAUUUAGGAAGGUUCACAAGGCUUCCUUAUUGCAAAGUGUGUCCAUGUGACUAAUAAUAAAAGAGAACUCAUGAAACACAUCCCAUAGUUGAGAGACGUAGUGAAAGUGGAAAGGUGGUCAGAACUAAUGUUCCUCUGUGUCUGCAGGUCUCCUCGGCCUUGGGCUGUUUGCUUCACUGGGCAGCACAGUCUGAAUCACUUGAAGUGGUGUCUUACUGAAUGCUUGUGUUACAACAAGCAGGCAAAGGUUUGCUAAUAGUCAAUAUGAUCCCAACUCUCUACAACAAAACUAGUUUUUAUUCCACACCAAAUACUGUACAGUGUACAGUGUAAAGACUAGAUUUCAUAGACCGCCUCUGGGGAACGUCAACAUUCUUUGACUCAGCGGGAAAUUUGUAAAGCAGACAAAGAGGGAAAGGGAACGUAACAGGGUUUAGAUUAAUGCCAUCAGUCAGGUCUCGACUAAUGAGCAGGGCUCUCACUGCGAGGCAGAUUCAGACUUAAGCUCCUCAAUUUGACAGCGGUGGCCUUGGGUUGGUUCUGAGGUGAAAAAAUAGCUUAUCCUCCACAAAGCAUCACCUGUUCCUGCUAUUGUUGGAUGAAAUCAUAUUUGUUGCAUUGUGUGUGUUUUUGAGUCAUUUGUUGACAUCAUUUGUUGUCCGCCUGCUUCUCUGUUGCUUCCUUUCUUGACAGCUCUAUUGCGUGCAAAUAUAGCUUCCCACUGAUGAAUAUUCA